GAUGAACGCUAGCGGCAGGCCUAAUACAUGCAAGUCGAACGGUGUCUUCGGACGUAGUGGCGCACGGGUGCGUAACACGUAUGCAACCUACCUUACAUUGGGGGAUAGCCUUUCGAAAGGGAGAUUAAUACCGCAUAAGACAGUAGCUGGGCAUCCAGCAGCUGUUAAAGAUUUAUCGAUGUAAGCUGGGCAUGCGUCCAAUUAGCUAGUUGGUGAGGUAACGGCUCACCAAGGCAAUGAUUGGUAGGGGAACUGAGAGGUCAAUCCCCCACACUGGCCCUGAGAUACGGGCCAGACUCCUACGGGAGGCAGCAGUAGGGAAUAUUGGGCAAUGGACGCAAGUCUGACCCAGCCAUGCCGCGUGCAGGAUGAAGGCGUUAUGCGUUGUAAACUGCUUUUAUACAGGAAGAAACGACUCUUGCGAGAGGCAUUGACGGUACUGUAUGAAUAAGCACCGGCUAACUCCGUGCCAGCCGCCGCGGUAAUAC
rnacentral:rRNA from 1 species